UACUCAAUAAUGCCCUGCCUGGACCAUCAUCCUCUAGUUUUGGGACACAAUCCAAUCAAAAAACUAUGCUACUUUACUAUUAUGUAGGAAGUUGGGAUCGUUUUAGUCAAGCAUAUAUAGAUGUUGUAUCUUCCAUCACAAGAGCAAAGCAUCAAGAUUCCAUAUUCAAGAGGAAGGGCUGUGACAGUAGCAUUUCGUCAAAGAAAAGGAAGGUGUCCAGGUGGACACAAUUUUAUGUGCCUUGCAGAAAAA